GACGAACGCUGGCGGCGUGCUUAACACAUGCAAGUCGAACGAAGUGGCUAACGGGUGAGUAACGCGUAAUCAACCUGCCCUUCAGAGGGGGACAACAGUUGGCACCGACUGCAAUUACCGAAUACUGAAUGGGGGGAUUGCGUCUGAUUAGCUAGUUGGAGGGGUAAAGGCCCACAAAGGCGAUGAGCAGUAGCCGGUCUGAGAGGAUGAACGGCCACAUUGGGACUGAGACACGGCCCAGACUCCUACGGGAGGCAGCAGUGGGGAAUCUUCCGCAAUGGACGAAAGUCUGACGGAGCAACGCCGCGUGAUUGAUGACGGCCUUCGGGUUGUAAAGCUCUGUUAAUCGGGACGCGGUACCGGAAUAGAAGGCCAGGGCUAACUACGUGCCAGCAGCCGCGGUAAUU
rnacentral:rRNA from 1 species